GACGAACGCUGGCGGCGUGCUUAACACAUGCAAGUCGAACGGAAAGGCCCUGCUUUUGUGGGGUGCUCGAGUGGCGAACGGGUGAGUAACACGUGAGUAACCUGCCCUUGACUUUGGGAUAACUUCAGGAAACUGGGGCUAAUACCGGAUAGGAGCUCCUGCUGCAUGGUGGGGGUUGGAAAGUUUCGGCGGUUGGGGAUGGACUCGCGGCUUAUCAGCUUGUUGGAUGGGUAGUGGAUUACCAAGGCUUUGACGGGUAGCCGGCCUGAGAGGGUGACCGGCCACAUUGGGACUGGGAUGCGGCCCAGACUCCUCCGGGAGGCAGCAGUGGGGAAUAGUGCACUAUGGGCGGAAGCCUGACGCAGCCACGCCGCGUGCGGGAUGACGGCCUUCGGGUUGUAAACCGCUUUCGCCUGUGCCGAAGCGUGAGUGACGGUAAUGGGUAAAGAAGCACCGGCUAACUACGUG
rnacentral:rRNA from 1 species